rnacentral:rRNA from 1 species
AGGGCACCACCAGGAGUGGAGCCUGCGGCUUAAUUUGACUCAACACGGGAAAUCUCACCAGGCCCGGACACCGGAAGGAUUGACAGAUUGAGAGCUCUUUCUUGAUUCGGUGGUUGGUGGUGCAUGGCCGUUCUUAGUUGGUGGAGCGAUUUGUCUGGUUUAUUCCGAUAACGAGCGAGACUCUAGCCUACUAAAUAGUGACCGGAUAGCUUGGUCCGGGUCACUUCUUAGAGGGACAAGCGGUGUUCAGCCGCAAUAAGUUGAGCAAUAACAGGUCUGUGAUGCCCUUAGAUGUCCGGGGCUGCACGCGCGCUACACUGGAGGAAUCAGCGUGCUUGACCCAUUGCCGAAAGGCAUUGGUAAACCCUUGAAAAUCCUCCGUGAUCGGGAUCGGGAAUUGCAAUUAUUUCCCUUGAACGAGGAAUUCCCAGUAAGUGUGAGUCAUCAGCUCACGUUGAUUACGUCCCUGCCCUUUGUACACACCGCCCGUCGCUGCCCGGGACUGAGCCGUUUCGAGAA